UACGUAGGUGGCGAGCGUUAUCCGGAUUUACUGGGUGUAAAGGGCGUGUAGGCGGGUUUGCAAGUCGGGUGUGAAAGAUCCAGGCUUAACUUGGAGAGGUCAUCCGAAACUGCAGAUCUUGAGUGCUGGAGAGGAUAGUGGAAUUCCUGGUGUAGCGGUAAAAUGCGUAGAUAUCAGGAGGAACACCAGUGGCGAAGGCGGCUAUCUGGACAGUAACUGACGCUGAGGCGCGAAAGCGUGGGGAGGCAAACAGGAUUAGAUACCCU
rnacentral:rRNA from 1 species